UACUCGAGUGGCGAACGGGUGAAUAACACGUGGGUGAUCUGCCCUGCACUUCGGGAUAAGCCUGGGAAACUGGGUCUAAUACCGGAUAGGAGCCAUUUUUAGUGUGAUGGUUGGAAAGUUUUUUCGGUGUAGGAUGAGCUCGCGGCCUAUCAGCUUGUUGGUGGGGUAAUGGCCUACCAAGGCGGCGACGGGUAGCCGGCCUGAGAGGGUGGACGGCAACAUUGGGACUGAGAUACGGCCCAG
rnacentral:rRNA from 1 species